ACUGCCCAGUCUGACAGUGUUUGUGGACUGGCUGCAGGACAUGGGAUGGGCAGGGCCAUAGACAGCAACUCUCCUGAAACACACACACGGUUCCCUUCAGAGGCAAUGUGGCUGGCAAGGGAAGGCCUCUCUGAUCUGCGGUCUACUCUCCUCUCACAGUGCCUUCGACCAUCCGUGCCAGAACUUCGGGGGCCAUCCUUGUGGGAACUUUCCCCAUCUCCAGGAUGCACUGAUGCUCCAGGGACCCAUGUCGUCCGUGCAUGUGCAGAUGACUUCUGUGACACUGAAAUGGCAGUCAUGUCCUGCCCAUGCCCCACUUGGGGGCCAUGAAUGCAGCGAGCCCGAGCCCGAGCCCGGAGGGUCUGCCCUUUACCUGGCCAGAGCUCUGCCAGCCUUGGAGGGCAAUCCUGAUGGAGCUGAGGAGGACAUCCUCUGGAAGCAGAUUGUCAUCACUGCCCCCUGCACAGAGGACAACCUCGCGCCCGACCACCUGGGCGAGGAGUUCCCAUUCUCCUCUGGGCUUGGAAUGCACGACCAUACCGUGAGGCCCACACAACUCGUCCUGCACAGGCUCCUCACCGGUGCCUUCGACCAUCCGUGCCAGAACUUCGGGGGCCAUCCUCGUGCUAAGAUUCCCCAGUGCCUGGACCCAUUGAUACUCCAGUGCCUGAACACUUUCAUGGCUCCCGCUCCUGCUACAGCACCUGCACAGGAUGGUCUGGAGCCGCUUCCAUUUUCGGAUGUUAGACUAGGUUUGGAGUUUGAAGAAGCAUCAUGGUGCAUUCGUGGAACUCCAACCCUGAGUUUUCACUUCGUGUCUGUAUCUGAGAUGUUGGCAUGUAUACCAUUAUGGCCAGAGGUUGAGCUGGAUACAGCACCAUUCCCGGCUCCCACAUCACAGUCCCCAGGAGAGCCCUCUAAGGAGCAGGAAAAAUCCCUGCCAGAAGACCAGGGCUUAGCCGUAUGUCUCUAUCUUGGGCCUGCUCAAGAAAAAGAGCCAUCUUUCCCCCCUCCUGAGCAGGUCAUUUUAUUCUUUGUUAUCACAUUUUCCCUUAUGUUCUUUAUUUUUCAUUGUCAUAUUUACUUUUUCUUUUUAGGUAUGUAUUAAAUUAAUAUUCAUUAUUACCCUGUUGUGGUGUGCAAAUCAUUGUCCUAAGUACAUUUAUUGUUGAGCAACCAUCCUCACUUUGUGGUCCAGAACCUAUCUUCACCCCAAACUAGAAGCUCAGGCUCCUGACAUCCCCUCCCCUUUUGGCUUCAUUUGCAUGACGAGUUCCACAGGUCUGCUUCUCUCCUUGUAUCUCCUUGCCCUGGGUGCUGCAUUCAGGAUGUGGAGCAUCUUAGGACCUGGCCCAGAAUUGAACUUGGUCAGGGAGCCU
rnacentral:lncRNA from 1 species